rnacentral:rRNA from 1 species
AAGACCUUGCGCUUUUGGAGCGGCCGAUGCCUGAUUAGCUAGUUGGUAGGGUAAAAGCCUACCAAGGCAACGAUCAGUAGUUGGUCUGAGAGGACGGCCAGCCACACUGGGACUGAGACACGGCCCAGACUCCUACGGGAGGCAGCAGUGGGGAAUUUUGGACAAUGGGCGCAAGCCUGAUCCAGCAAUGCCGCGUGAGUGAAGAAGGCCUUCGGGUUGUAAAGCUCUUUCAGUCGAGAAGAAAAGAUUGUGACGAAUAAUCACAAUUCAUGACGGUAUCGACAGAAGAAGCACCGGCUAACUACGUGCCAGCAGCCGCGGUAAUACGUAGGGUGCAAGCGUUAAUCGGAAUUACUGGGCGUAAAGGGUGCGCAGGCGGCUUUGUAAGUCAGAUGUGAAAUCCCCGGGCUUAACCUGGGAAUU